CAGUAGCCACGGUAAUACGUAGGGUGCAAGCGUUAUCCGGAAUUAUUGGGCGUAGAGGGAGCGUAGGCGGAUAUUUAAGUCAGGGGUGAAAUCCCAGAGCUCAACUCUGGAACUGCCUUUGAUACUGGGUGUCUUGAGUGUGAUAGAGGUAUGUGGAACUCCGAGUGUAGAGGUGAAAUUCGUAGAUAUUCGGAAGAACACCAGUGGCGAAGGCGACAUACUGGAUCAUUACUGACGCUGAGGCUCGAAAGCGUGGGGAGCAAACAGGAUUAGAUACCCCUGUAGUCCCUGUCUCUUAUAC
rnacentral:rRNA from 1 species